rnacentral:rRNA from 1 species
UACGGGGGGAGCAAGCGUUGUUCGGAUUUACUGGGCGUAAAGGGCGGGUAGGCGGCCACCGCAGGUCGACUGUGAAAUCUCCGGGCUUAACCCGGAAAGGUCAGCCGAUACUGCGGGGCUAGAGUGCAGAAGGGGCAACUGGAAUUCUCGGUGUAGCGGUGAAAUGCGUAGAUAUCGAGAGGAACACCUGCGGCGAAGGCGGGUUGCUGGGCUGACACUGACGCUGAACUGCGAAAGCUAGGGGAGCGAACGGG